AUUGAACGCUGGCAGCAGGCCUAACACAUGCAAGUCGAACGAGUGGCGGACGGGUGAGUAAUGUCUGGGAAACUGCCUGAUGGAGGGGGAUAACUACUGGAAACGGUAGCUACUACAGCAUACCAUCAGAUGUGCCCAGAUGGGAUUAGCUUGGUGGUGGGGUAACGGCUCAGCAAGGCGACGAUCCCUAGCUGGUCUGAGAGGAUGACCAGCCACACUGGAACUUAGCCACGGUCCAUCCUCCUACGUGAGGCAGGCGUGGGGAAUAUUGCACAAGGGGCGCAAGCCUGAUGCAGCCAUGCCGCGUGUAUGAAGAAGGCCUGCGGGUUGUAAAGUACUUUCAGUGGGGAGGCGUUACCCGCAGAAGAAGCACCGGCUAACUCCGGGCCAGCAGCCGCGGUAAUAC
rnacentral:rRNA from 1 species